GUUAAUUUGAAAUGCUUCUGGAAAAAAAAGACUUUUAAACAGACACCCAGGGCAGUAGAGAGCCGCAGCUGUUGCAAGGAAACAUCCCUGAGUGGUAAUAAAUACGCCCACAGGUGCUAGACACGCCCUUUGGGCAGAGACGCGUGACCUGGAAUCUACCUGAAACUAGUUUUCAAAAGUAGAUCAGGAACUCCUCUGUACAUACAUAUACCCUGCUACUGACUGCAAAGAAGAUUCAUUCAAGUGAAAGUGAUCUUGACGGUCCUGGGGAUGAGGAGCAUUCUCUGGCCUGUGGCAUUCAUGCUGGUGAUGUCCCAUCUAUCAUCUGGUCUCAUCUGUCAAAAUGGCGGCACUUAUGAUGGUAUAAAGUGUCAAUGUGCAACUGACUUCUUCGGGCCUUUGUGUGAAGAAGCUGCCCCCAGACCAGCCCCAGAGAGAGACAUUAUGACUCCUCCUGUCACUGGGGAAAAUCGGGAAAGAGACAUUUUUUUAUCUGCUUCCUCUGUCGGGAUCCACUCUGUGCAUGUGCCAGCAAAAAAUAAGUCACAACAGCCAGCAUAAGCAGGGAUAAUACAGUAGGACGCAGUUUAUCAGGUAACACGUGCAGGAAAAAUGCCCCAGUGAUGAUUAUUAUAACCAGGACACAGAUGCCUCCAUAUAAACCUGAUUUUAAAAUCUUUCCUGUACAGGUUCC